AGGCAGAGGAGGACAAGGAGGAGCAGGUAGACAGCCAGCCAGACGCCUCCUCCAGCCAGACAGUGACCCCGGUGGCUGAACCCCCGAGCACAGAGCCCACCCAGCCUGACGGGCCCACCACCCUGGGCCCCUUGGAUCUGCUGCCCAGUGAGGAGCUAUUGACAGACACAAGUAACUCCUCUUCAUCCACUGGGGAGGAAGCGGACUUGGCUGCCCUGCUUCCCGACCUCUCC
rnacentral:lncRNA from 1 species